ACUACCACCAUCAAUGUCAACAGUGCACCCUCAAGAACCGAGUAGACCCACUUCUUAUGAUCAAUCAACUACUUCACCAUUAGUUCCAUUUUCUUCACCUAACCCUCAAAGGCAAUCAACGUCAUACUUUCAUUGCCGACACCUGCACUUCAUAAGCCUGCAACUGCAAUUGCUCCUUUGACUUGGCCAGUAUCUACUCAAAUAGCAACAACUCACUCAGUUGCAACUCCACCUCCAUCAAUACCUAGUUACCAACAUCUCCAUAACAAGGAUAAUCCGAAUAGCACCAUCGGAAUGCCAAAGGACAUGUUUUUGCAAAAAGAUGCAUUCUGCGUUUAGUUUAGUACUGUCUUUCCAAUCAGCUGUCGUUAAAAUGUUAACGAUUAUAAGAACCUUAUUAGAGCACAUGGUUCUCAGAAGCAUGUUUUCUAUGUGUUCUAAUAAGGUUCUUAUAAUAGUUGACAUCUUUAACUGCACCUUGGUUGGGAAGGCACUGAACCAGAUACAUAACACAACUUUUUGCAAAAAACUUGUCCUUUGGCAUUCCAAUGGUGUUGCUCGCAUUAUCCUUUGUUGUGGAGAUGUAGGUAACUAGGUAUUGAUGGAAGUGGAGAUGUAGGCUUUAUAACUGAGGGAGCUAUUAGCCUAUUACUGCUUGAGUAGAUAAGACGAAAGUCAAAGGAACAGUUGGUGUUGCAAUUGCAUGCUUGUCAAGUGUUGCUGCCGGCAAUGUAGACAUCAGAAAUAAACCAAGCAGAUGAAGCUGAACAAGACAGUGAUCUUGAUUCCCCGAGGAAAGGAAAAUGUUUUGUGCUAUAAAGAAAUCUACUUGACAGAAGGCUUUCAUGAGUUUGUGUUCAAACUCCAAGAGAAUAUCAGCCAUCACCAGCAGUAUUUUUGCAAUAGUGGCUAUGCUUCUGUGGAGCACCAUGAAAGAGUACUCAGAAUGCUAAAUUAUGGGAGGUUAAAUCUUUCUUCUGUGCCAGUCAAGUGGUACACCAUGCCAAAGAAGUUCUACAUAACUGGUUGAAUUAAUGCAUUUGGACCAUCACAUCAUGUGCAGGCCACCACCAACUGGUGUUCUAAAAUGCAAUCUCGAUAACCAGCAAUUGAGUUUUGAAGUUCUCAUUUUUUUUAUCAACAAAUAUUAUUUUUUAAUUUGUUAGUUUUUUUGUUAGCAGGAAAAUUUGAACUUACAAUCUAUCCCUCUCUCUCUCUUUUUAUCCUUUACCACCAAGUCAAUUUUAUAUCUUCUUGAAGCAGACAUGUGUGUGAGGGAUGGUAAUUAAAGGACACUUUGUCUCAUCUGUGUUGAUUAGUUGGAAACUGUUUUUUCCAAAUUAAGGUACACGAAGGUGGGAUUGUUAAUAGCAAUUAAAUAGUUAAGAGACAUGAUGAAUUUUGAUAAGGUUAUCAAUGAAA